GAAUUCGCCCUUAGAGUUGAUCCUGGCUCAGGAUGAACGCUGGCGGCGUGCCUAACACACGCAAGUCGAACGGACUCAUAUUGAAACCUAGUGAUUUAUGAGUUAGUGGCGGACGGGUGAGUAACGCGUGGAAAACCUGCCGUAUACCGGGGGAUAACACUUAGAAAUAGGUGCUAAUACCGCAUAAGCGCACAGCUUCGCAUGAAGCAGUGUGAAAAACUCCGGUGGUAUACGAUGGUUCCGCGUCUGAUUAGCUGGUUGGCGGGGUAACGGCCCACCAAGGCAACGAUGGGUAGCCGGACUGAGAGGUCGAUCGGCCACAUUGGGACUGAGAUACGGCCCAGACUCCUACGGGAGGCAGCAGUGGGGAAUUCUGCGCAAUGGGGGAAACCCUGACGCAGCAACGCCGCGUGCGGGACGAAGGCCCUCGGGUCGUAAACCGCUUUCAGCAGGGAAGACCUUACGACGGUACCUGCAGAAGAGGCUCCGGCUAACUACGUGCCAGCAGCCGCGGUAAUACGUAGGGGGCGAGCGUUAUCCGGAUUCAUUGGGCGUAAAGCGCGCGUAGGCGGCCGCCUAAGCGGAACCUCUAACCCCGGGGCUCAACCUCGGGCCGGGUUCCGGACUGGGCGGCUCGAGUGCGGUAGAGGAGAGCGGAAUUCCCGGUGUAGCGGUGGAAUGCGCAGAUAUCGGGAAGAACACCGAUGGCGAAGGCAGCUCUCUGGGCCGUCACUGACGCUGAGGCGCGAAAGCUGGGGGAGCGAACAGGAUUAGAUACCCUGGUAGUCCACGCUGUAAACGAUGGAUACUAGGUGUGGGGGGUCUGACCCCCUCCGUGCCGCAGCUAACGCAAUAAGUAUCCCACCUGGGGAGUACGAUCGCAAGGUUGAAACUCAAAGGAAUUGACGGGGGCCCGCACAAGCGGUGGAGUAUGUGGUUUAAUUCGACGCAACGCGAAGAACCUUACCAGGGCUUGACAUCCCGGUGACCGGCCUAGAGAUAGGCUUUCCCUUCGGGGCACCGGUGACAGGUGGUGCAUGGUUGUCGUCAGCUCGUGUCGUGAGAUGUUGGGUUAAGUCCCGCAACGAGCGCAACCCUUAUUGCUAGUUGCUACGCAAGAGCACUCUAGCGAGACUGCCGUUGACAAAACGGAGGAAGGUGGGGACGACGUCAAAUCAUCAUGCCCCUUAUGUCCUGGGCCACACACGUACUACAAUGGCGGUCAACAAAGAGAGGCAAACCCGCGAGGGGGAGCAAAUCUCCAAAAGCCGUCCCAGUUCGGAUUGCAGGCUGCAACCCGCCUGCAUGAAGUUGGAAUCGCUAGUAAUCGCGGAUCAGAAUGCCGCGGUGAAUACGUUCCCGGGUCUUGCACACACCGCCCGUCA
rnacentral:rRNA from 1 species